CCUACGGGAGGCAGCAGUGGGGAAUAUUGGACAAUGGGCGCAAGCCUGAUCCAGCCAUGCCGCGUGAGUGAUGAAGGCCUUAGGGUUGUAAAGCUCUUUUACCCGGGAAGAUAAUGACGGUACCGGGAGAAUAAGCCCCGGCUAACUUCGUGCCAGCAGCCGCGGUAAU
rnacentral:rRNA from 1 species